rfam:Diplodia seriata DS_831_scaffold_v01_253, whole genome shotgun sequence.
UCAGCUCUCUUUGCCUUUUGGCUUAGAUCAAGUGUAGUAUCUGUUCUUUUCAGUUUAAUCUCUGAAACGUCUCUACGGAGACAUUCGUGAUUAAUCUUGUUUUUGGAUCCCGGGCGACGGCCGCUGAGCUUGCUCAUGUCGCCGCCCACAGUGUCGCCCGUAUUGCACUGCCUCGGGCUGACGCGAACACUA